rnacentral:rRNA from 1 species
GAUGAACGCUGGCGGCGUGCUUAACACAUGCAAGUCGAACGGAAAGGCCACAGCUUGCUGUGGUACUCGAGUGGCGAACGGGUGAGUAACACGUGGGUGAUCUGCCCUGUACUUCGGGAUAAGCUUGGGAAACUGGGUCUAAUACCGGAUAGGAAUCACAUGUGGGUGUGUGGUUGGAAAGCUUUUGCGGUAUGGGAUGAGCUCGCGGCCUAUCAGCUUGUUGGUGGGGUAAUGGCCUACCAAGGCGUCGACGGGUAGCCGGCCUGAGAGGGUGUACGGCCACAUUGGGACUGAGAUACGGCCCAGACUCCUACGGGAGGCAGCAGUGGGGAAUAUUGCACAAUGGGCGUAAGCCUGAUGCAGCGACGCCGCGUGGGGGAUGACGGCCUUCGGGUUGUAAACUCCUUUCGUCAGGGACGAAGCGAAAGUGACGGUACCUGGAUAAGAAGCACCGGCUAACUACGUG